UACAGAGGGUGCAAGCGUUAAUCGGAAGUACUGGGCGUAAAGCGCGCGUAGGUGGUUUGUUAAGUUGGAUGUGAAAGCCCCGGGCUCAACCUGGGAACUGCAUCCAAAACUGGCAAGCUAGAGUACGGUAGAGGGUGGUGGAAUUUCCUGUGUAGCGGUGAAAUGCGUAGAUAUAGGAAGGAACACCAGUGGCGAAGGCGACUACCUGGACUGAUACUGACACUGAGGUGCGAAAGCGUGGGGAGCAAACAGG
rnacentral:rRNA from 1 species